GAUUAACGCGAAGAACCUUACCUGGGCUUUACAUGCUGGUGUAAGCCGGUGGAAACAUCGGCCCCUCUUCGGAGCGCCAGCACAGGUGCUGCAUGGCUGUCGUCAGCUCGUGUCGUGAGAUGUUGGGUUAAGUCCCGCAACGAGCGCAACCCUCGCUCCCAGUUGCCAGCGAGUCAUGUCGGGGACUCUGGGGGGACUGCCGGCGUUAAGCCGGAGGAAGGUGGGGACGACGUCAAGUCAUCACGGCCCUUACGUCCAGGGCGACACACGUGCUACAAUGCCUGGUACAGCGCGUCGCGAACCCGCGAGGGGGAGCCAAUCGCUAAAAGCCGGGCUAAGUUCGGAUUGUAGUCUGCAACUCGACUACAUGAAGCCGGAAUCGCUAGUAAUCGCGGAUCAGCCACGCCGCGGUGAAUACGUUCCGGGCCUUGUACACACCGAAUCACUAGU
rnacentral:rRNA from 1 species